GGGGUGUGCAAUAGACUUACCUCCACGUGGUACACCCUGGGCAACGUAUUCUCAUACGGCAAAAAAAGUCUAU
rnacentral:ribozyme from 1 species